UUUAUUAGUGUGAGCGUGCUAAGGUAGCGUGUAAUAAAUAGCCUCUCAAUUGGAGGCCAGUGAAUGGCAAGACUAGGAACACCUGUACCUUAUACACUAAAAAAACUUUUCGUCUAAGUGAAAAGACUUAGAUAAUGAAGGAAGACGAAAAGACCCCGCGGAACUUUACCUUCUCCCACUCCCCUGCCCAGAAGCACAAAAGAACCAAAGGUUUGAUUGGGGCAAUCUCGGAACCACCAAGCUUCCGAUUUCUAGCAGAAAUGAUCCAAAAUUCGAUAAAGACCAAAAAGAAGUUACCCCGGGGAUAACAGCGUAAUCCAACUCAAGAGUACACAUCGAAAGUUGGGUUUGCGACCUCGAUGUUGGCUUAAGGUUAUCCACAAUAGUGCAACCGCUAUGAUAGGAUAGUCUGUUCGACUAUCAUACCCUUACACGAGCUGAGUAAGACGCGA
rnacentral:rRNA from 1 species